UAGGGAAUCUUCGGCAAUGGACGGAAGUCUGACCGAGCAACGCCGCGUGAGUGAAGAAGGUUUUCGGAUCGUAAAGCUCUGUUGUUAGAGAAGAACGUUGGUAGGAGUGGAAAAUCUACCAAGUGACGGUAACUAACCAGAAAGGGACGGCUAACUACGUGCCAGCAGCCGCGGUAAUACGUAGGUCCCGAGCGUUGUCCGGAUUUAUUGGGCGUAAAGCGAGCGCAGGCGGUUCUUUAAGUCUGAAGUUAAAGGCAGUGGCUUAACCAUUGUACUCUUUGGUACCUGGAGCCCUUUAGUGCCGAACGGGCGAGUGGACUUCCAUGUGUCGCUGUGAAAUGCGUAGAUAUCUGGCGGAACCCCGGUGGCGCAAGCGGCUCUCUUGUCUGUAACUGACGCUGCGGCUCGCAAGCGUUGGGAGCAAACAGG
rnacentral:rRNA from 1 species